UCCCUGGUGGUCCAGUGGCUAAGACUCCCCUCUCCCAAUGCAGAGGGCCCGGGUUCAAUUCCUGGUCAGGGAA
rnacentral:tRNA from 1 species